rnacentral:rRNA from 1 species
CCUACGGGCGGCUGCAGUGAGGAAUAUUGGUCAAUGGCCGCAGGGCUUAACCAGCCAAGUCGCGUGAGGGAUGACGGUCCUAUGGAUUGUAAACCUCUUUUGUCAGGGAGCAAAGGGCGCCACGUGUGGCUUUUUGCGAGUACCUGAAGAAAAAGCAUCGGCUAACUCCGUGCCAGCAGCCGCGGUAAUACGGAGGAUGCGAGCGUUAUCCGGAUUUAUUGGGUUUAAAGGGUGCGAAGGCGGAAUGUCAAGUCAGCGGUAAAAUUUCGGGGCUCAACCCCGUCGUGCCGUUGAAACUGGCGUUCUUGAGUGAGCGAGAAGUAUGCGGAAUGCGUGGUGUAGCGGUGAAAUGCAUAGAUAUCACGCAGAACUCCGAUUGCGAAGGCAGCAUACCGGCGCUCAACUGACGCUCAUGCACGAAAGCGUGGGUAUCGAACAGGAUUAGAUACCCUUGUAGUC